CUCAUGCUCAGCAUGUCUGUGAAGCCCAGAACGGUACAUUCUGUGUCUUCCCAGCUGGUAUCUAAGAUCUGAACAGCUGUCAAAAAGCCACACGAUAGACAGAUAUUUGAAGUCACAGUCGAGACGGAGAUAGGGCUGUGCAGAGAAGUGGAAGGAGGAAACGCCAACCUGGAAGUCAAGAAGCAGGAUGUUGGCCUGGUUUCCAACAGCGAACAUCUCCAGACCACAGGAUGGAACUCACCCAUCAAUUCCGGAUGCCUAAUCUAGAUGUGAAAAAAACAGAAUGAUAUCUGAGGCAGUCAAGUAAAGAGCCAUAAUGGGCUGUAGUUUCCCCCCCUCCCCCGU